rnacentral:rRNA from 1 species
UCCUACGGGAGGCAGCAGUGGGGAAUAUUGCACAAUGGGGGAAACCCUGAUGCAGCCAUGCCGCGUGUGUGAAGAAGGCCUUCGGGUUGUAAAGCACUUUCAGUAGGGAGGAAAGGUUGUAAGUUAAUACCUUGCAGCUGUGACGUUACCUACAGAAGAAGGACCGGCUAACUCCGUGCCAGCAGCCGCGGUAAU